GAGAGAUAUAUUGAUUGGGUCAGACCGUGUGGCUGUAUUUAUGGGUAGAGAGAGAGAUAUAUUGAUUGGGCCAGACCGUGUGGCUGUAUUUAUGGGGAGAGAGAUAUAUUGAUUGGGUCAGACCGUGUGGCUGUAUUUAUGGGUAGAGAGAGAGAUAUAUUGAUUGGGUCAGACCGUGUGGCUGUAUUUAUGGGUAGAGAGAGAGAUAUAUUGAUUGGGCCAGACCGUGUGGCUGUAUUUAUGGGUAGAGAGAGAGAUAUAUUGAUUGGGUCAGACCGUGUGGCUGUAUUUAUGGAGAGAGAGAUAUAUUGAUUGGGCCAGACCGUGUGGCUGUAUUUAUGGGUAGAGAGAGAGAUAUAUUGAUUGGGUCAGACCGUGUGGCUGUAUUUAUGGGUAGAGAGAGAGAUAUAUUGAUUGGGCCAGACCGUGUGGCUGUAUUUAUGGGUAGAGAGAGAGAUAUAUUGAUUGGGCCAGACCGUGUGGCUGUAUUUAUGGGUAGAGAGAGAGAUAUAUUGAUUGGGUCAGACCGUGUGGCUGUAUUUAUGGGUAGAGAGAGAGAUAUAUUGAUUGGACCAGAUCUUGUGUAUGUGGAUAGAUGUACUAGAUCCUAGUGUGUGUAGGGUGGUUACAGUAUAUAGAUAAGCCUAAUAUGCCUUGUGGAUGUAUGGGUAGAUACUAGGUCUUUUAGGCCUUGUGGAUGUAUGGGUAGAUACUAGGUCUUUUAGGCCUUGUGGAUGUAUGGGUAGAUACUAGGUAUUUUAGGCCUUGUGGCUGUAUGGGUAGAUACUAGGUAUUUUAGGCCUUGUGGAUGUAUGGGUAGAUACUAGGUAUUUUAGGCCUUGUGGAUGUAUGGGUAGAUACUAGGUAUUUUAGGCCUUGGAUGUAUCUAUAUAUACUAGGUAUUUUAGGCCUUGUGGAUGUAUGAGUAGAUACUAGGUAUUUUAGGCCUUGUGGAUGUAUGAGUAGAUACUAGGUCUUUUAGGCCUUGGAUGUAUGAGUAGAUACUAGGUCUUUUAGGCCUUGGAUGUAUGAGUAGACACUAGAUCUUGGUUGGGAUAGACGCCAACUUCACUGGAAGAGGCAGUCACACCCAACGGACUAUCUAAUUGGGACAAAUGACCGAUUAGUCAGGUUGAAUUGCUAUGUGUCUGUGUGAAUGUGUGUGUUUGUUUAUUGAUUGCAGUUGAAAAAAGUUUGACAAGUUUGCAGAAAACAGUGGGAAAUGUGCUGGUAGCAUAAACCUCUCAUCAUCAUGGUAAUAUCAGACUACAAUCCAUGUCAGCAGCUCCAGUGACUAUGUAUCAGCUAUUUCCCAACACAUACAGUAGGGUGCUGAAAACCAACCAGUUUUAGACGGAACGUGUUACACAUCAAUCAAAUGUGACAAACAAACAGUGUUAUUUUGUAAUAUGUAUAUACAGCGCUUUCGGAAAGUAUUCAGAUUUUGUUACGUUACAGCCUUAUUCUAAAAU